CAGUCUAGGGGGCUGUUAGGGCCGCCCUGGGAGACACACAGCCCGCAGCAGGAGCGCGACAGAUCCUGGCAGAAGAAGUACUUUUUAAAAACCACAGCUGGAAUGUGCCUGGGACGCCGAGUCCUGCCGAACACUCCCCAGCAGCCGCGUGACAGUGACGUAAUCAUUGUUUGCAGAUGGAGAAGCUGCCGUCCCCAGCUAGCACCCCACUCCGAGGUGCCAGCGCCCUGCAGGAGGGCACUGCUGAGGCACAGCGGCUGGCAGCUGGGACGAGGGUCUGAGGAAGGCCGCCUGCAACUGACAGCCCUCCCCCGCCCCAGAUGCCUGGAGAAGGAGCCCCUGGGCUCUGCUGUGCUCUGGCAGUGCGGGUGUCCUGGGAGUUACAGAUGCAGACGCCCCUGCCGGCCACUUCUUGAAGCUCAGCUCAAAGCACCAAGCCUCCCUCCCCUGCCAGCCCAGGGAGGGGCGGAUAACACCAAACCCUCAAACACCGAAGCAGGGAAAGUCUGCCAGGCACGGCUUCUGGGAGCUUCUCCCUACACCAAACUCAGAUGCCCCCCCCCCGGCCAGGCAGGUUUUUCUCCGUGAAUAUAUGCUUCUUCCCUACAGCACGGCAACCCUGACGCAGAGACGGCUGCGUCUGCUGUUUACCCCGUGCUCCUGCAUCACGGUCCUGUCCCCGUGUCGGUCAUCAAAACGUGACUUCCAAAGGCUUGUGCUCUGUGGGUGCAUCCCCCACUUUGUGUAAUGGAGCCUCUGUUUGGUGGCUUUUCAGUUAUUUCCAGUGUCAGAACUCCAGAAACUGGAAGCAGAAGGAACCUCGGAAGACGUGCGGGCCCCCUCCCUGUCACCCUCACCUGGGGGACAGAGAAUCAAUCCACCCUGCCCCAGCAGGGGUCCCCAGAGCUCAGGGGUGGCCGCGGGGUUGGAGGCUGGAGUCCAGCUGGGGUCUCGAGGCUCCGCUUCCUUGGAAUGGGGUAAUAAUAACACCUCUCUCCCUGGGUUGAUAGAGGAUGGAGAGCCAUAACGAAUUGGAAGUUCUCAGCCACUGUUACUAAAUUUUUAUCGCCCAUGCUGUCGGGAAGGAACACAUGCCCUGAGGGGGCGCUUUCUACCUGAGCAGCUGUGUGAGGUCACAGAAAGGGCUCUGAACUGCAGUCUGGAAACUUGACUCUGACCAGGGCAGCCCCGAUCCUUGGCCACGUGGUCUGAGGUUUCCGCACACGGUCUGCUACCUGUGUCCUGGCCCAGCCCACAGAAGACUCCCUCUUGCGACGACAGCCCCACCGAUGCUCACAGACACUGCUGCGACUCCACGGGAGGGCGGGCCUUUUCUGUAAAAGGCCAGAGAGUGAAUAUUUCAGGCUUUGCAGGCCAGAUGGUCUCCGGAAAGCAGCCUCUGACACUAUGCAGACGAACUGGCGUGGCUGCCUGCCAAUAAAGCUUUAUUGACAAACAUGGGCUGCAGAAUUCAUAGAGGCAGAGAGUAGAUUAGAGGUUGCCAGGGCCUAGGGGGCUAUUGUUUGAUGGGUACAGAGUUUUAGUCUAAGGUGAUGAAAAAUUCUGGAACUAGACAGUGGUGAUGGUUGCCCAGCCAAGUUAAGGUAAAGGGAACGCACUUAAUGCCAUUGAACUGUCCAUGUGCAAACGGUUAACAUGGCAAACUUUAUGUUAUGCUGAUUUUGACCACAAGAAAAAUGGUUAAAAUGGCAAAUUUUAUGUUUCACUUGUUUAAGAAGAAAGAAAGAAAGAAAAACAAAACAGGCUGGGGACCGGAUUUGGCCCCCAGGCCAUCACUUACUGGCAUUCUCAGAGUCCUGCCAUGGGACGCCCCUUUGCCACGGUAAAUCCACCAGUUUCCUGAUUCUGUGUCUCCUCGGCAUCUGGGCACGGUGUCCUGCACCCAGGAGGCAACUCUAAAAACUGGACUCUUAUUCUGGGUUCCUUCGCAUGCCCAAUGCCUUCCGUUGGACGUGAACUUAGCAAGGAACAUGGUGUUUCAGGUGGGGCCCCCCAUCUGGGGCACCCGCUGGGCCUGUGGCUGCUCUGGGUUUGGGCAGCACACGUGUUCCUCUGUGGUCCAGGUUAGACCUUGGGGCGCCAACCCCGCUGGCUCAAACCCAGCAGGCAGCCCGCUGUGGGAGAAAAUCCAGGCAUUUUUCCUCUGAACUGUGGCAAGGUGGGCCCCUCAGACUGAUGUAUUGAUUUUGGGGACACUAACUGUAGGAUUUAAUAGGAAAAUUCUGCUUGCUCCUUCACUCGAUCAUUUUCGCCUGCCAGCACCUUUUAGAAUCUGUCAUCUGUUGUAUCCGCUGUCCUCCCAGCUUUGUGUCAUCUGGAAAUGACUUCUAAUAUCUUCACACAAGUCACCAGGUCCCUGAUGGAGACACGGCAGAGGCUAGAGCCAACCUCGGCUGCCACGGGAUCAUUAAUCAAUACUCUUUGGGUGCGAUGGAUCUGCUGGUGAAAAAGUCACCUAAUUGGAUGGUUACCUUCCGGCCACUUCUCUAUCUUUUCCACAAGGACAUCACACACAGUGCCAUUUCAAAAUGAUGUCACUUCCUCCACAGAAUUCUUCCACAUUGAAAGGGAAACAGGCGAGUCAGACACGACUUAUUUGGGGCUAAACCAUGUGGGCUUCUGGGCUCCAACCUUCUAGGUGCUUGGAACCAAUCUGGUGGCUGAAGGUGCAACAGUUCCCUGCACCUUAAAAAUUCCGACUUUAAACGGAGACAGCCCAGACCCAGAACCUCAAAGCCAGGCAAACAGCUCUAUAACAGCUGCUGAAAAGAAGAAGGAACAAGAAUACAAAUAAAAUGCAUCUAGAUUUUGAUGGGAGCAAAGCUUUCCCUUCGAAAAGUAAGUGGGCAGUCACAGCCACGAGGUCUCACGUGAACUCGCGCACUAAUUUUUAAACGCAACCUUUCCAAUGGGAAGCAGCCCUGAAGACCGCUUCUUGUGCAGGUGUUCCGAGCUCUCUGAGCAAACGCCACUGUCCUGACUUCCAAGAUAUUCACUCCCUGCCCCAACGCGCGCACCAGCCUGGGAGUCACUGUCCCCUCCGGGACAGAAGCCGGCUGGGCCGCAUCCCGGUCGUGAAGACAGAAACCCCAGACGCGGCUCCCGAGUAACCAUGGCUCCGGGCAUGCGCAGUUAGGAGCCCGGCGAACGUCCGUCUACUCCGUCUUCCGCGCGCAGCAGAACCGCAGAACCUGUGUCCUGAACGACCUCAACAGACAUUUACUGAAGUUUCAAUUUCACGUGGGUGUCCCCUCUAGGAGCGGCAAGGAACUGCAUCGAGCUUUAUGAUCUGGGAGAGGUGCACUCCCUGAAUCUUCCUGGCUAACUGGACCAGACGUUACUAUGCAGCUGAGGGACCGGAGUUUCUGGGACUUUAAGGGACUUGUUGAAGCCCCCAGGCACCCAGCUGCGAGGUGUUGGCAUCGCUGCCGAGGCGCACCCUUUCUCGUGUCCCGCGGGGCCGGGGCCCUGGAGACACAGAAGGAGGGGAGCCAGGGCGCCUGCCGGGAGUGCAGACCACCUGGUGCAUUUCCUGAACUUUAGCACAUGCCUGGGCGUGGGCAGCCCUCCCUAGGGCCUGGGGAACAAGGGAGCCCCAUCUUACCUCGUCGGUGAUCUGGCCUCCAAAGGUCACCCAUGUCCCUGGAAGGAGACACACAGGUUCAAGUCAGAGAACCGCCCCGGGGAGCCCGGUUCUCCUCCAGGGGUGCUUGGACCUCAGGCUGCAGGGAGCCUGCUCCGUGUGAGCGUGUGCUUGGCACAUGUGGACACCUGGCCUUCAGGGCAAGUCUCCCUUUCUUGAGGCCACCAAACCAAGGGAACAGUAAGUGCCUGGAGCGGGCAGCUGACUGCAAGGCUUUGAAAUGUUUGCUGGGGCUCAAGCUGACACAGUGCCUAUUCCAGGGACACGCCGCUGGCAGCGGGACCAGGGCCAUCUCCCUGAAGAUGCGCAGGUCUGACAGCCAUGUCCUCGCGCUUGCUGGGAGGGGUAUGUGUGUGUGCGCGCACAUGCACGCGUGGACUGGAGGGACAGCUUGUUCGGGGAACAGAGCACAUAUCUGGCAAAAGGAGAAAAAAGGCAAAAUCCGACUGCCCUUCACAAGGGACUCCUCCACAUAAGGAAACAAGGUGUGGGAACAUGGGGGCAGGUGCUUCCCUGAUCUUUGGGUGCUGGACAGGGGGCUGAGUGUGCAGAGGCCCCGGUACUCCCCACCCCAACUAAGGCUGCAUCUCUGUCUCCCUCCCUUUCCUAGGACCCUCCCCCACUGCCUCCUGGUAACCACGGCAACUGAGUCCCCCAGUCCCGGCUCCGGGUGCAGCUCCCUCCCUGCACCCCCAGGGGUGGCCCCUUCAGCCUUCCCACUGCCCCUGCUUCCUUGGGUGCUGCUGGAACCAGAGGCCGCCACACUCACCGAGCCCCAGGCAGGAGACCCGCAGGCCUGACUUGCCCAGGUUCCUAGAAAACAAACAUGGUGUGAGUUCUCAGCAGCCAGGGCAGGCCCCACCGUUCCCACUGCCCAGCCCUCCGAACCCCACAUCCCAGCCUCUUUUUGGGGCUCUGGCAGCAAGGGGUCCUUUGAAGAGAGGCCUGCUGAUUGCCCACCCUGGGCGUAAAGGGUCAAUUCUCCCCCUCUACAGACCGGGGCAUGGCCAUCCUGGUGGGACAGGCCGUGCUGUGACCAUGGCAGGGCCCCCGAGAGCCACCUUGGAGAGAAAACAUGGAAUGGGCCCUGUCUUGUUUCAUGGGUUGACGCGAGACUGACUCAGGCCGUGGGGUACCCGCCACAGGCAUCCUUGUGUAAACAGCUUCUCUUUCUGCUUCUUCAGAGCGUCACGUUGGCGGUUCUGUGUAUUUUCACUCCCUCUCUCCGAGGAGUGGAGGAGAAAUUAGUUCCACGUCGCCUGGGCCCCGCAGCCCUCGGCCUCUGCAGCAGGAUGAGGGGAGAGGAGAGCUCCGCCGAGGGCCCUGUGCCCGCAGCAGGCCUGACUCCCAGCCAGGAGAGGGCAGGAGGGCAAGAGACAGACACUCUGGCAGCACACUUCCUGCUCGGGGCCAGCGGACGCAGCUGCACAGGCUGCCCGGGGCUCCGCCGCAGGCCUGCCGAGGCGCCCGCCAGAUGGGGCACGUCCCGGGGUCCACGUGAAUGAGCUGCGGACUGUCAUUAAUGUCCUUAGGGGUCAAGGCGGGCGGUGACGCCUGGCUGAGGACUGGGAUGCCCAUCCAUCCUGCACAGACUGGCUGAGGCCUGUCCUUAAGGGCCCUGUCACCGACCCCCUGACAGCUCUGUGGGGCAGCACCUCCCCUUUCCUGAUAGGCCCACUUUAUAGACGAGCACACUGGGCCUGCCCGGGGGCAGAGGAGCUGGGAGUCCACGCAGACAGUCAGCCCCGAGAACACGCCCCCACCAGGGGGGCACGCCCCACCAUGGGGGCGUCGACGGGUUGCAGGGUAGGAGCGCACUUCCCUGGGAGGUCCUGCUGCCCGCACCCCGGUCCUGGGCCCAGCCCGGGGUGCGACGCUCUCCGGGGCAGUGGGGAGCCAGAGAGUGGGGGCAGGGGGAGACGCAGUGGGUGAGCCCCAGCCUCCUACCCCGAGGCCCCCUGGUGUUUCCCUGGGGCUACCCCACUUCUAACUUCAGUGGAUGCUGUGUCCUGUUUUCCUCACUCACCUGGCUCCCCUGGGAAGCAGGUGUGGGGCUGAGCCUGACCUGCCGCCCUCUGACAUGAGUCCACUCACCCCCAACAAGACCCCUGGCCCCGCUCACAUCACAGAUGGUUGUUGGUGGCGGGUGGGUAUAAUAAACUUGUAAGCAGUUUGAUAACAGUUUGUCACCAAAUUUAAGGCAGUCCUAAACGGCCUGGCUUUCUUGUCAAAUUUCCCAUUAAACCCAGCCCAGCUGCCAACCCACUGCUCCUACAGGGUACGUUGGGAGUUUUCCCUCAGUGAGGACAUAAUAGCAGCUGGCUUCUGUUUCGGGGAGGGGAGUGGCUACAGCAGAGGUUCUGAAGCUGGAGUUCAAAUCCUGGUUCGACCUUCCUGGCCGUACGCCUGCCCCUGGACGUGUCAUGUAACCGCGCAUGCCUUGGUGUGCUCAUCUGCAGAAUGGGCUCGUGAUGCUGCCUCUCUCAUGGGGCUGCCGUGAGGAUGAACUGAGAUGACACCUGUGCCUGGGACAGAGGGUCAGAGAACACUGCCUCUGCAUGAGUCUCAUUUCCAAGAGAGACAGCACAGAACAAGGGAUGGCAGCCUUUUUCCUUAUAUGAGAAACGACAAAGGACAAAUCAAAUAGAUUUUAAAUGUUACCGGGUUAGAAAAGGAAUUGAAGUUUCCCCUUGUUCAUUUCCCACUAAAAUCAGUGAAAUAAUCUAUCGGUGUCCUCGGCAUUGCCUGCAUAUUACAACCCAGAGCAACUUGGGUUUGUGAUUGUCAGAGAGAGGCACAAUUUGCAACUGUGUAAGGUGAUAGAUAUUAACUAAACUUAUUGUGGUGAUCAUUUCACAGCAGGUGAAUGUAUCAAAUCGUUCUGCUGUACCUUACACUUAAUACAACGUUACGUGUUAACUAUAUCUCAAAAAGAAAAAUAAAGCUGGGAAUAAUGCUUAGACUAUUCUUGAUUUAACCUCAGAUUUCCUAUGAAAGAUUUAAAAUAUAAUAUGUACUAAAUUCAAGGGCUUAGUCAAAAACAGUCUUUAAAAGGUUUCUUAAUCAAAUCCUAACAGACAUAAAGGGAGAAACGGAUGGGAACACAAUAAUAGUUGGAGACUUUGACACCCCACUAACAUCAGUGGGCCGAUCUUCCAGACAGAAAAUCAAUGAUGCAACAGAGGUCUUAAAGGACACAAUAAAAGUUUUCUUACAUAGUUUCAAUCAUGCUUGGAUUGCUGUUGCUUGCUAAGUAGAAAGUAAACUUGUGUUUUGUUGUAUAUAAA